rnacentral:rRNA from 1 species
AACGAACGCUGGCGGCAUGCCUAACACAUGCAAGUCGAACGAUACCUUCGGGUCUAGUGGCGCACGGGUGCGUAACGCGUGGGAACCUGCCCUUAGGUUCGGAAUAACUCCCCGAAAGGGGUGCUAAUACCGGAUAAUGUCCUCGGACCAAAGAUUUAUCGCCUUUGGAUGGGCCCGCGCUGGAUUCGCUAGUUGGUAGGUUAAAAGCCUACCAAGGCCACGAUCCAUAGCUGGUCUGAGAGGAUGAUCAGCCACACUGGGACUGAGACACGGCCCAGACUCGUACGGGAGGCAGCAGAGGGGAAUAAUGGACAAUGGGCGAAAGCCUGAUCCAGCAAUGCCGCGUGAGUGAUGAAGGCCUUAGGGUUGUAAAGCUCUUUUACCCGGGAUGAUAAUGACAGUACCGGGAGAAUAAGCUCCGGCUAACUCCGUG